GUGUCAGCCGCCGCGGUAAUACGGAGGGUGCAAGCGUUAUCCGGAUUCACUGGGUUUAAAGGGUGCGUAGGCGGAUUUGUAAGUCCGUGGUGAAAUCUCCGAGCUUAACUCGGAAACUGCCAUGGAUACUAUAAGUCUUGAAUGUUGUGGAGGUUUGCGGAAUAUGUCAUGUAGCGGUGAAAUGCUUAGAUAUGACAUAGAACACCGAUUGCGAAGGCAGCAGGCUACACAAAUAUUGACGCUGAGGCACGAAAGCGUGGGGAUCAAACAGGAUUAGAUACCCUGGUAGUCCACGCCCUAAACGAUGAUUACUCGACAUUUGCGAUACACAGCAAGUGUCUGAGCGAAAGCAUUAAGUAAUCCACCUGGGAAGUACGACCGCAAGGUUGAA
rnacentral:rRNA from 1 species